ensembl:lncRNA
GCACUCAACUUCUUGGUUUCCUCUUGAACGUUAUUCAGAGUAAAGCAACACUUCCCAGGCUGAGGAAAGUGAAUAGAGACCUCCACUUCUACCCACUGCGAGACAGAUGGAGUCUUGUGACAGUGGACUGCCCACCAGAAUGAAAACGAACGCUGUGAGAAGGAAACAGAGUCCAUGUCUCCACAGUGUCUCAACCAGAAUUUGUAGGAUAUAACGGCUGUUUUGAGAACUACAUAAGUUUCCACAAGUCAAUCACUCAGUGACUGGCUUACAGUAAAGACUCAAAAUUUGUGGUUGCCAGCAACAACAUCGGUGGAUGAAAACAGCCUGGCAGAAGAGUGAAAGCACACUUGUUGUCCCUUAGGAACAUCAUCAACCCUCCAUGCUGGGGAUCGAACUCAGGACCUUGUGCUUGCGAAGCAGGCGGCGGAACCACUGAGCUAAAUCCCCCGACCAAGGCUAGAUAACUCUGAACCAGGCUCACUAGAAGAAUCAAGAAAUGCUACAUAAAAUAAAACGAAAUCUCCUUUCAUAUGCACUCCACAGGGCCUGAGCCUGAGGAAACUGAGAAUUGUGUGUGCUGAAGUUCUGGAUGUCAACGGGAAGGUAGCAGACUGUAGGUCCUGGUCAGCGGAGGCUUGUGGUUUAAUGCCCACAGAUAAAAGAUCGGGCCCAGAGCCUGAACAAGGCAGAAAGUUGGAGCUGAGGUUACUGCAUAAAAAAGCUAGGGUGCUUAUGACGCCUCCUCUGCAAAACUGGAUACAAGAAAACAAAAAAUCCGAAGAUUAGCACCAGGAAACUGUAAGAAGUUUGUAUCUUGACAUAGGCUAUGGAUUUAGGCAAUGAAGAUUCCUCCCUGAGAAAGCGUAAUCAAACUUGUGCUUGAGGAGGACAUUAAAGAACCCAUGUGAAAUACAUAAAACACGGUCAAUAAACAGCUAGGUGAAGCAGAGGCCUUUUUCAUUAAACCUCAGUCACAGUCUCGAUCCCAAGACCCUCACCUUAGAUUUACCAGCAGUUACUAGGAAAGAAGACUUACAAAUGCAGUGCUUUACUUGAAACUGCUACAAAUGUUUUCUGUAAGAAAUUGGGUAUUUGCUUAUUUGAAUGGUAAAAUGUGACACAGGAAACAGAAUUUACUCACCCUGGCUUCCGAUGAACCCAACAGGUUUGUCCUUGCGAAGCUACUUUUCUUUCAACGUGCCACCCUUGUGCCCCUGUGCGUGUUCCCUCGCUCCACGUGCACCACUCCAACUGGAUUUCCUUUACAGCCGCGGGAAUGUCCUUAAGCUACUAUGGCAGACACCUGACCCCAUACUAUGCCUCCUUCUUCCCAAAUUCACUGUCUUCCCUUCUGUUCAACUUGUAGGCGGCACCACGUUUUGAUUCCCUCAAACGCUGAGCACCUCCUGGCACACUGUAGGUGCAGUCCUUGCCCUUCAGUGGAAGACGGACGCUUGGGCCCGAAACCCAGGGGCUCCGGCAGAAGCUCGCCCCGAGCUCCUGUUCUAAGGGCAGGGAGAAUGAUGCUGGCGGGGUAAACACCAUAUUCUCUCCCCUGAUAAUCAACCGGACCAGCAACAGCUCAGUGGAGACCAGUGGGCAGCGAAAGAGAACAGAGAACUUCACAGAGCAGAGACCUGACAAGCUCUACCUCACUCAGGAAACUAGGAAACACCAAUAAUCAUAUGUCAUGUUGACCACAUCCAGCCAGAAUAAAAUGUGAUAAAAAGGCACUGUACAUCUAGGACCUCCCUCCAAAUAUCCCAUACUCCCAGGAUAAUCUCAGAACAUACCAGACAGAUUCCAGGAGGGCAGCAUUCCCUUGGUCCAUACUGGGCAAAUUCUCAACAUUAUUUAAAAAACAGAAAGUGUUUUCAUUUGCAUCUCUCGAAUGACC